rnacentral:rRNA from 5 species
UUGAACGCUGGCGGCAUGCCUUACACAUGCAAGUCGAACGGCAGCGCGGGAGCAAUCCUGGCGGCGAGUGGCGAACGGGUGAGUAAUACAUCGGAACGUGCCCAAUCGUGGGGGAUAACGCAGCGAAAGCUGUGCUAAUACCGCAUACGAUCUACGGAUGAAAGCAGGGGAUCGCAAGACCUUGCGCGAAUGGAGCGGCCGAUGGCAGAUUAGGUAGUUGGUGAGGUAAAGGCUCACCAAGCCUUCGAUCUGUAGCUG